CCUACGGGAGGCAGCAGUGGGGAAUAUUGGACAAUGGGCGAAAGCUUGAUCCAGCAAUACCGCGUGUGUGAAGAAGGCCCUAGGGUUGUAAAGCACUUUCAGUUGGGAAGAAAAGUUUGGCGUUAAUACCGUCGAACCUUGACGUAACCAACAGAAGAAGCACCGGCUAACUCUGUGCCAGCAGCCGCGGUAAUACAGAGGGUGCGAGCGUUAAUCGGAAUUACUGGGCGUAAAGGGCGCGUAGGCGGCCAAGUAAGUCGGAUGUGAAAGCCCCGGGCUUAACCUGGGAAUUGCAUUCGAUACUGCUUAGCUAGAGUACGGUAGAGGGAAGUGGAAUUCCGGGUGUAGCGGUGAAAUGCGUAGAUAUCCGGAGGAACAUCAGUGGCGAAGGCGACUUCCUGGACCGAUACUGACGCUGAGGCGCGAAAGCGUGGGGAGCAAACAGGAUUAGAUACCCUGGUAGUCCACGCCCUAAACGAUGAGAACUAGCCGUUGGGAGCAUUUAAGCUCUUAGUGGCGCAGCUAACGCGUUAAGUUCUCCGCCUGGGGAGUACGGCCGCAAGGUUAAAACUCAAAGGAAUUGACGG
rnacentral:rRNA from 1 species